rnacentral:rRNA from 1 species
UACGAAGGGGGCUAGCGUUGCUCGGAAUCACUGGGCGUAAAGCGCACGUAGGCGGUUCUUUAAGUCAGGGGUGAAAUCCCAAGGCUCAACCUUGGAACUGCCUUUGAUACUGGGGAUCUCGAGUCCGGAAGAGGUUGGUGGAACUGCGAGUGUAGAGGUGAAAUUCGUAGAUAUUCGCAAGAACACCAGUGGCGAAGGCGGCCAACUGGUCCGGUACUGACGCUGAGGUGCGAAAGCGUGGGGAGCAAACAGG